rnacentral:antisense_RNA from 1 species
CGCUGUGGCGGACCGUGCGAGGCGGGCGUUUGCCCGGCCGGCUUACUCGUUAUCCGGUUUUCCACCCUUGCACGGUCCGCCUCCCUU